GCGGGCGUAGAGUUCGGUAUUGAAGCGGCGCAGGAAGGCGAUGGCCUCCAGAUUCUCCCGCCCGCCAUGCUGGUUCGGAAUCCAGCCGCCCGCG
rnacentral:tRNA from 1 species